ACUGUGCGACCAUACCCAUCACAAAAACAUUUUAGUUUAUAGUUUGGGUCUCUCAACUCUCGCCUGUAAUCUUUUCAUAAUACCAAUAUGCUUUAUCAAAUUUAGAAUGCCGUUUGUACUAUGAAUUUUAUUUAUUGGUUAUACUUUAAUAGCAGCAACUGUAAGAUUACGUUAUGUUAUGAUAUAUUAUUAAGAAACUAAAAGCAUAUUAAAACAUUAUUUCCUUAUUUUUAAUGUCGUGCCCGUUAAGUGUUAGAAUGUAUCAUAUUUUUUGGGUUAUAUUGUACAGACUUUGGGAUGUGUCCACGUUAACAUUAAUAUCCAGUAUUAUAGUAUUUUUCCUGUAUGGAUAUUUGAUUGCAUUUUGUGUCUUUAUGGUAGGUCUGUCUGGAAUUCUGUACAAUGCUCAAGACCUGCUGUUAUAUUAUCCAAAUGAUCCACCGGAGUCCAGAAUGUUCAUCCUACAACCUAGCAACUUUAAGUUACCUCAUGAAAAUAUUAAAAUAAACAACAAGGAUAAAUUGAAAAUUCACAUAUACCUUAUUAAACAACCAACUAACAGCAACCACAUACCAACAAUGAUGUUUUUUCAUGGGAAUGCUGGUAACAUGGGCCAGAGGCUCUCUAAUGUUUCCGGAUUUUAUCACAAAUUAAAGAUAAAUAUAAUGAUGGUGGAAUACAGAGGUUAUGGUUUAUCAGAAGGCAUCCCAUCAGAAAGGGGGCUAUACAUAGAUGCACAAUCUGCACUUGACUACAUUAUGCACAGAACUGACAUUGAUCGCUCAAAGAUUGUUUUGUUUGGCAGGUCAUUAGGUGGAGCAGUGGCUAUAGACUUAGCAUCUAGGUUGGAGAAUAGAAAUAAGAUUUGGGCUUUAGUUGUGGAGAAUACAUUCACAAGCAUACCAGAUAUGGCCCAGAUCAUUCUCAAGUGGAGGUGUUUGAAGAUACUACCACUGAUAUGUUACAAGAACAAGUACAUGUCAGUGAACAAAAUUGGUCAAGUACUAGCACCCACAUUAGUAAUUUGUGGCUCCAACGACGCUCUAGUGCCACCUGAAAUGGCAAAUCAGCUGUACAUGAGGUGUGGAGCCAUCUGCAAGAAACUGACCGUGAUGCCGGGCGGCGGCCACGACAACACCUGGACCUGCAGGGACUACUACUCUUCCGUACAGCAGUUCCUGGUCAAUGUGCCGAUGCUGCCAGCUAGUCUCGGACCACUUCUCACAGACGUAGAUAACGAUGCUUAUGAAAACGAUGUAACGAGACACAGCUUAGUGCACACAGUAUAGCGAAUUGACUGACUGAUUAUAAUAUAUUGUGUACAAAAAGAAUGCUUUUACCUCAAUUUGCAUAAAUUAUGCUAACAUGUAAAUAAUUUUUUUAUAUCAUCUUAUUUUUAUUUUCAAGAAAGUUAAUUAGCACUGCCGAUCACCCAUCGACAAGAGCACAUACGUGUGGACUUGUGGAGUUUUGUAGCAGUUCAAGUAGGUCUUAAAUAAUAAAAAGAUGAACCAUGCAA